CAGCAGCCGCGGUAAUACAGAGGGUGCGAGCGUUAAUCGGAUUUACUGGGCGUAAAGCGUGCGUAGGCGGCUUUUUAAGUCGGAUGUGAAAUCCCUGAGCUUAACUUAGGAAUUGCAUUCGAUACUGGGAAGCUAGAGUAUGGGAGAGGAUGGUAGAAUUCCAGGUGUAGCGGUGAAAUGCGUAGAGAUCUGGAGGAAUACCGAUGGCGAAGGCAGCCAUCUGGCCUAAUACUGACGCUGAGGUACGAAAGCAUGGGGAGCAAACAGGAUUAGAGACCCCCAGUAGUCCCUGUCUCUUAUA
rnacentral:rRNA from 1 species